UCUGUUAAGCAGUGGUUCACCUCAAACUGGUUUUAACAGCAUUCUGUUAAGCAGUGGUUCACCUCAAACUGGUUUUAACAGCAUUCUGUUAAGCAGUGGUUCACCUCAAACUGGUUUAACAGCAUUCUGUUAAGCAGUGGUUCACCUCAAACUGGUUUAACAGCAUUCUGUUAAGCAGUGGUUCACCUCAAACUGGUUUAACAGCAUUCUGUUAAGCAGUGGUUCACCUCAAACUGGUUUAACAGCGUUAUGUUAAGCACCUCAAACUGGUUUAACAGCAUUCUGUUAAGCAGUGGUUCACCUCAAACUGGUUUAAACAGCAUUCUGAUCUUUUGUCGUAGUAUUAUUAUUAUGUGAUAUUGUACUGUUAUUUUUCCCAGCAGAAAAAGUAUAAUUGUUUUGUUUUAUCCCUGUUUUAAUUGGAUGUAGAUUGAGGCGUUCUGGUUUUUAAUAUCAUAUAUACUAUAAAUUGUGUUUAUUUAAAAGGCUUUGUGUUUUAAAGGGCACUAGUCUCCUCUAGGGGUCCAGUCAGUGAGCUGAAACACAGAAUACUGGAGAUACAAAAUGUGUUUCUAUACCAUAUGAAAUGUAAGGAUCAGGAUUCAUAUGAAAUGCACUUCCAUAUGAAAUGUAGGAAUAUGACAUGAGUCUGUGUUCUACAUGGCAGAAAUGUACUGUAUAUAACAGCUAUGCUGGUCUGUGAGCUAUCUGUAGCGUUGCAGCCUCCUGAGUAGGCCCUAGCUGUGUCUCCUUGCAAUAGGAGAGCCCAUUGUCUCACGUCAGAUGACGUCACUCCUAUGCGACGCUCGUUUUGAGUGCAGACAGCCGUCAAGCGCUAUCUGAAGUCAGACAAUGUAGGAGAGCCUAGAAAGGUGUAGCUCGAGAAACGGCGUACCUAGCUAGGGAGAUGCUACUGCUAGCUAAUCUUAAGAAAACUUACAGGAGACCUUUGUAGCCUAACUAUAGCACAGCUAGCUAGAGAGAUGCCAGCUUUUAGCUAACCCAAGGCCGGUCUAAAGGUGAUCCGAGUAUCUUUAGCAUGGCAGGCUAGCUAGAGAAAUGCUAGCUACUUGCUAAUUUAAACAAAGCACUUAAGGUGAUUCCGUUUUCGUCCUCAUGCUAGUGAGCAGUAGCCACAUGCUGGCUAGCAUGAGGAAAAAAAACGUCUCAGCAGUGUCUUAAUCUAAACAAAAGCCCUUUCCAACCAUAUAGCAGAGCGUAUAAGGUUGGAAUCUUCUAGCUUACCUAAAGGUCUUCAUCCUGUCACGGUGUUUCCACAACAACUCCAACCUGCCACAGCAGAUCUCCUGUUACCAGCAGGACCUCGUCAUAAACCUUAUUCAAUAGAAACCAAAAUGGACGUCCUGUCACGGUGUUUCCACAACAACUCCAACCUGCCACAGCAGAUCUCCUGUUACCAGCAGGACCUCGCCAUAAACCUUAUUCAAUAGAAACCAAAUGGACGUAAAUGUUAUUCAAUAGAAACCUAAAUGGGGAAGGACUACCUCAACUUGUCCAAAAAGAAACUCCAAAGAAGCGUUUUUUCCUACCGCUGUGACCUACUGAUUAUGACCCCUUCCUGUGUUGCAUUAGCAGUGUCUCGGGAUUUGAUUCAAUGAACAAGGCACUUCAAACAGUCUUUCCACUUAAGGAUGAGAAUUUGAACCAAUGACGUAUAUUAAACCUGGAUUGCUGAUGCUAUGUGUUGACCAUUAAGGGGCUUUGAAACCAGUAGCAGUCCUCCAUAAGAAUGAAUGGAAUUCUACACUAUUUCAAUUAAAUGUUUCAAGGAUGCAUUUAAGUAUUUUGGUUGUCCUAGUGGGGACAGUUAUACAUUUAAGGGGAAAACAAUAUAUUUGAAAAGUAUGCAUUAAGGUGUCUGUCUGUAAGUUAAUACACGUGGCAAAAAAACGAA